UGGGGAAUAUUGCACAAUGUGCGAAAGCGCGAACCAGCAACGCCGCGUGCACGAUGAAGGCCUUCGGGUUGUAAAGUGCUUUUAGAGAGGAUGAGGAAGGACAGUACUUCCUGAAUAAGCCUCGGCUAACUACGUGCCAGCAGCCGCGGUAAAACGUAGGAGGCUAGCGUUAUCCGGAUUUACUGGGUGUAAAGCGCGUGCAGGCGGCUCGAUAAGUUGGAUGUGAAAGCUCCCGGCUCAACUGGGAGAGGUCGUUCAAGACUGUCGGGCUUGAGGAUGGUAGGGGAAGGUGGGAUUCCGGGUGUAGUGGUGAAAUGCGUAGAUAUCCGGAGGAACACCAGUGGCGAAGGCGGCCUUCUGGACCACACCUGACGCUCAGACGCGAAAGCUAGGGUAGCAAACG
rnacentral:rRNA from 1 species